rnacentral:lncRNA from 1 species
GAUAUGUUUAGCAGAAAUCGAAAAAGAAAGUGCGAGUUAAGUUUGUUCCUCACAGAGGGUUUGUCAUCGGUUUAUCCAGGGGUGACAAGGCUAAUAAUGAAACCAAGGAGGAAAUACCACAUCUUAAGGUAGAACGAUUUUCAGAAUACAAUAUCAUAAUUUACCAUUUACUGAAUACAG